rnacentral:misc_RNA from 1 species
UCAUUUUUAUCAUCAAUGUAGAUUGAAAAUCCAACAGUCUUAGGCCUUUUGUUUCCUCCUGUUGAUGUUGAUUCUCCUUCUCUUCCCAUACAUCUUCCUGCUUGUUGCCCUUUUGUAACAAUUGAAGUAUCAUCACCUCCUCUCCCCCUACCUUCUCCCCUACCUCUUUCAGCUUAUUAAACUCUUCCAACAAUUGAAGUAUCAUCACAAAUAGAGGUUGAUUGUGGCCUGAGUUGACAUGUUGUAAUGGUUACCAUGAGGUGGAUGGCUUGAACCUACAUGUUGUCCUGAGCUUGGUGGUUGGCCAAUACCUACAGGUUGCCUUGAGCAUGCAGGUUGCCUUGAGCUUUGAGGCUGACAUGAGCUAGCAGGUUGGCUUGACCUUCCAGGUCCAGGCUGGGUGAGCUUCCAAGCUGACAUGAGCUAGCAGGUUGGCUUGACCUUCCAGGUCCAGGCUGGGUGAGCUUCCAAGCUGACAUGAGCUAGCAGGUUGGCUUGACCUUCCAGGUCCAGGCUGGGUGAGCUUCCAA